ensembl:lncRNA
AUAUAUAUAAAACUAUUUUGGAUAAAUAUUAUAUCAAAAUGUAAUGUUUAAACUAAACCAUAAAUAUAAUUUUGGGCUGGGGGGGUGUGUGGGAACUAGAGUAUUUUUGUUCCGAGUUGGUUCAAUUUAUCUUUUAUUUUUCAUUGUGCGUAAUUGUAAUCGCUGCUAACACUCAUAUUUAAGUUGAUCUCAUAUUACUUAUUAACACUUUUAACAUCUCAUUACAGCAUUUAAAUCUUCUGUAUUGUAUGAACUGCUUUUGCCUGUUUGUAUGUUUCUGCUAUCAUCUGCUUAUCUGCUUCUUUCUCUGUCCAUCUCUGUCCCUUUAUUUGCUCUCCACUCGUCCUUCCAUCCCUUUCUGUAUCUUUCUCUGUCUCUCUCAGAGGUGUCAGACUACACUCAUCCUCCAGCUGCUCCACAAUCACUCAUCUCUCCUCAGCUUCCACCUUCAGUUCCCAUCCGCCAGCUAAAAGCCGCAGUCACCAUCAGUUCUGCUGCCCUUCCAGGCUGGGCAGACCCGAGCCACCCUCCAGCAGGUGCUCAGAGCGGGCCAGCAGUUUACCAAACACACUGCCCCUCACCCUUUGACCUUUGACCUGUUGCACUCAUCCAAACGGCUGCCCUCACCUGGUGUGUCACAUCUUGUGUCUAUCGUGUCCUUCCUCUUGCCCUCGCUGUGAAGUGCUGAGAGAAGGACACUUCAGAGACUGCGGAGGAGGAAGUGAUCACUUUAGCUCUGUCAGAGAAGAUGCUAGAUGAGGCUUGUCAGACAGACGCUUGAGGAAGUGAGAGGUACCAAUUAAUGUCUUACACUUUGAUGGAUGCCUGUCAUAUACAGUUGCUACAACUUUCACGUCGUCCCCCAUCAAUUCUUCCUUUAUUUCUCUGUCCUUAUCCACAAGCCUCCCUCAUUCUGUCUCUCUCUUCCUCCAGCGCCUCACUAACUUUGUGUAAACGCAGGAUCAAACAUAGCUGGCUCAGUUUAAGCCUCACAGAACAGCCAUGAUUGAGAGAGAGAGAGUAAAAGAAGAGUGUGUGAACUUGAUCUGUCGCUCUCUAUCCUCUUUCCCUUAACUGUGCCAUUUAAAGCCUCGUGCGCACGUCUGCUGGCAGAAUGCCUCCCAAAAUAAAAGCAACCUCAUUACUUUAGACUCUGACAGACUCUCUCACUUUCUGAUUUUCUUCACUCUGAUGUCAUGUUUCAUUCUUUAAUUUAAUUUAGUAUCAUUCUGAGUGUGAUUCACUUGGUUUGCGCUAUUUAAUUUGAUGUGAAUGAAAAAACGGUGUGAUGGAUUGAACUACAGUCUGUUCAAUCAGCUUCAUUCAUGAAACAAGCAGAAUUUUUGUGUUAUGUCAUUCUGACGAAAAUUUUCAUGAAAGUGUUUUCAAGCUUAUUUUUAAAAUGUUAGCUGCUAUGAAAAAUGGUACACCUGCUUCCAACUGUGCUAAUGUUGCUUAAAACACUCAAAUUUAUUGUUCAAGGCAUACUGCAUUUUGAUAACAAUAUUUACCAUACAUAAUAUAUAAUAAUAAUAAUAAAAGUUAACCAAUAAGUUCAAUGUAAAUAAAUUUAAUUAAAGUCACAGUCGGUUUUCCUUUUUAUUUUAGAUUGCCAUUAUUCUGCAUGAGCAUUAGUAUCUGCCUGCAAGCUUAAAACUGUAAUUGAGUACUCUUUUUUUUUUUGGCUUAAUUAGUCUCUUAUCAAUAUAAUUUUCAAAACUUGAGGCAAACCAAAUAAGGGAGAAUAGAAGAUCCUACAGAAUCCUUAUACUCAUAAUUCACAUAGUUGUAAUUCAUGGCCAGAGACUGAUGUUUUUCUCAUUUUUAUUAGAUUUUUUUAUGUCUAUUUUGCUUUUAUUAAAGUUUUNUUUUAGUUUUCAUUUUAGUUAACUAUAAUAAACCUGCCACAUAUUACUUUAAAAAUACUCAUGUAGCUUCAUGAAUGAGGCCCAUUGUGUUCAUUGGUAUUUUUCAAUGUUAAAAAAAAGUCCCUUAUCCUAAAAUAUAAAGUAUUUUCACUUAAAAAAAAAAAAGGAACAACAACAUGGGUUGUGAAACAGAUGUAACCAAGUAGAUAAAGACAAACUUAAUAUAAUAAAAGUUAAUAAAAGAAAGUACAACAAACUGAAUGACCGUCAUAACCUAAUUUUAAUUCACAUUAAAUCAAAAAUGGUGCUUACACUGAUUAAUGUUUAUACACUUUAGCUAAACAGUAGCAAGCAACUGGAUGUUUAUACAUAUACAGACAAACUAUUUAUAGAUUUUCCAAUUAUUCUAAAAGUUUUGUGGUGCUCCAGUACAGAUAAUGCAUAAAGCUGGUGGAAUGUGUUAAGUCUGCCAUCUAGUGGACACAUUUCAGCAAAGCAGUCUGUCUGAGCACUGUGACUCUAACAAAUCAAUGGUGUACUUUCCUUCAGUUCAUUACAGGUAGAUAAAAUUAAACUCAAGUUUGUGUCUGAUUUUUCAUGUUCUUUAUGUGUUUUCAUCCCUCUUUUUCUGACUUUCUGUCGUUGUAUCUUUCUCUUUCAACUAUCUGACCCUCUUGUCCCUCAUCAUUAGUGAGGAAGAGGAGAAGGAGGAGGGCGAGACUGAUUCUGUCCAUCAGUUCUGUUGCACCGCCUCCGGGUGCAGUAGCCCCUCCUCUCGCUAACCUGCAGCCAAUCAGCAUGAGUGGAACAGCUUGAUUGACAUUAGUUUCUUGAACUCUAUAUAACAGGACUUUAUGAGUCUUUUGGUACAGUGUUUGUAAUUGCAUGUUGAAUAGCUUGCUGUCUCGAUUAACUGCUGUUACAUAUGUUUAAGUAAUUGGAAAACAUCUUAAAUCAGUCGAUGAACACUGUAUUCAGUUUAGAGACAGUGACAUUGACUGUAUUUACAUGUCUAUUUACAGAAAUAUCAGGUACAUUCAAUAAUGUAACCCUAAAAUAAAGCUGUUUUAUGUUUGAAUGAACACUUCACAGAGAUACAGUCUGCAGUCAUGUGAAAUGUCUUUAAAUUUGCUUAGUAUUAUAGAAUGCAUAUACUAUCUGCCUACUAUACUAUAAUAUAAUAAUAAAAUAAAAUAUCCGUUUAGUUGCUGAUUAUUUUUUCCUUUUUAUGCUGACAUUUUAAUAUCAGUUAAUCCCUGUCAUUGAGAACCUUUUUUUUUUUUUUUUGUAAAUGAGUGGUAUCCCAAAUGUCACUGUGCUUGCUAAUUUUGUGUGCACUGUGUUAACCUAUUGUUCAUAAUUAAUGUUUACUCUUGUUGUUUUCUCUUGUAGGAGGCAUAUAUUAAAGCUGAAUGUGCCACUAUGAAUAAAGUCGAUCAUUAUCAGGACACAUUUUUGCCUGAAAAUGCAAAAUAAAUAAAUAAAUAGUGCAUUUUCAGGAAAUCUGAUGCAGGAAGUGGUGGUCAGAAAAUGAGGAAAUUGUCCCACCAUUGAACAGAAAAUUACAUGUCAUUUUAAUUUCAAUAGGUAAAAUCAAAUGAGCUGAUAUUCAGAUGAAAAUAAAAAUCAUAUAAUUAUUUAUUUAUGUUAUUUUUUUGCAUUACACAUGAAACUUAUAUCAGUAGUAAUAUAAAUGUGCUGUUAAUACAAUUCCUAUUAUUUGGCAAGUUUGUUUUGGCGAAAUCCAGUCAUUUGUCACAGGAAAAAAUAUUUUCAUAUAUACAUUUAACAAAAGUGUUAAGCCCAGCUAACAGAACAUUUUCACAACUUUCACUAACAUUUUUAAAAAAUAUAUAUAAAUGUUAGGACAAAAAGUUCUUAAAGCAA